rnacentral:rRNA from 1 species
GCUGGCGGCAUGUUCUAACACAUGCAAGUCGAACGAACCCUUCGGGGUGAGUGGCGCACGGGUGCGUAACGCGUGGGAACCUGCCCUUAGGUUUGGAAUAACAGUGAGAAAUCGCUGCUAAUACCAAAUAAUGUCUUCGGACCAAAGAUUUAUCGCCUUUGGAUGGGCCCGCGUAGGAUUAGCUAGUUGGUGAGGUAAAGGCUCACCAAGGCGACGAUCCUUAGCUGGUCUUAGAGGAUGAUCAGCCACACUGGGACUGA